AACGUAGGAGACAAACGUUAUCCGGAGUUACUGGGCGUAAAGGGCGUGUAGGCGGUUCGUUAAGUCUGGCGUGAAAGCUCUCGGCUAAACCGGGAGAGGUCGUUGGAUACUGGCAAACUAGAGGACGGUAGAGGCGUGUGGAAUUCCGGGUGUAGUGGUGAAAUGCGUAGAGAUCCGGAGGAACACCAGUGGCGAAGGCGGCUCUCUGGGACGGUACUGACGCUGAGACGCGAAAGCGUGGGGAGCGAACAGG
rnacentral:rRNA from 1 species